UAAUACAGAGGGGGCAAGCGUUGUCCGGAUUGACUGGGCGUACAGCGCGCGCAGGCGGCUCGAAACGUGCCCUGUGACAAACGCGGGCUCAACCCGCGAGGGCCAGGGUACACGGCCGAGCUUGAGACAGGGAGAGGGCAGUGGAAUACCCGGUGGAGCGGUGAAAUGCGUAGAGAUCGGGUGGAACACCAGGGGCGAAGGCGGCUGCCUGGCCCUGCACUGACGCUGAGGCGCGAGAGCGUGGGGAGCAAACCGGAUUAGAUACCCGGGUAGUCCACGCCGUAAACGAUGUGCACCCGGCGCUGGGAAGUGAUUGCGCUUCUCGGUGCCUGAGCUUACGCGAUGAGUGCACCGCCUGGGGACUACGGCCGCAAGGCUA
rnacentral:rRNA from 1 species